UGCGCCUAGGCCGGCGCGGCGGAACAUGCCCGUGGAGGGGUAAAGGGGAACCUUGCAUCUCGCUCCCGAGCGGCGGACGGGUGAGUACUGUAUGGGGAUCUGCCCGAUACAGGGGGAUAACUACUGGAAACGGUAGCUAAUACCGCAUAAUCUCUUAGGAGCAAAGCAGGGGAACUUCGGUCCUUGCGCUAUCGGAUGAACCCAUAUGGGAUUAGCUAGUAGGUGAGGUAAUGGCUCACCUAGGCGACGAUCCCUAGCUGGUCUGAGAGGAUGAUCAGCCACACUGGGACUGAGACACGGCCCAGACUCCUACGGGAGGCAGCAGUGGGGAAUAUUGCACAAUGGGCGCAAGCCUGAUGCAGCCAUGCCGCGUGUAUGAAGAAGGCCCUAGGGUUGUAAAGUACUUUCAGUCGGGAGGAAGGCGUUGAUGCUAAUAUCAUCAACGAUUGACGUUACCGACAGAAGAAGCACCGGCUAACUCCGUGCCAGCAGCCGCGGUAAUACGGAGGGUGCAAGCGUUAAUCGGAAUUACUGGGCGUAAAGCGCACGCAGGCGGUUGAUUAAGUUAGAUGUGAAAUCCCCGGGCUUAACCUGGGAAUGGCAUCUAAGACUGGUCAGCUAGAGUCUUGUAGAGGGGGGUAGAAUUCCAUGUGUAGCGGUGAAAUGCGUAGAGAUGUGGAGGAAUACCGGUGGCGAAGGCGGCCCCCUGGACAAAGACUGACGCUCAGGUGCGAAAGCGUGGGGAGCAAACAGGGAUUAGAUACCCUGGUAGUCCACGCUGUAAACGAUGUCGAUUUGAAGGUUGUUCUCUUGAGGAGUGGCUUUCGGAGCUAACGCGUUAAAUCGACCGCCCUGGGGAGUACGGCCGCAAGGUUAAAAACUCAAAUGAAAUUGACCGGGGGCCCGCACAAGCGGUGGGAGGCAUGUGGUUUCAAUUCCGAAUGCAACGCGAAGAACCUUACCUACUUCUUGACAAUCCAUAGAAUUUAAUCAGAGAAUGCUUUUAGUGCCUUUCUGGGAACUCCUGAGAACAGGUGCUGCCAUGGGCUGGUUCGUCAACCUCCGUGUUGUGCAAAAGUUUUGGGUUAAGAUCCCGCGAACGAGACGGCAGUCUUCUCCUAUCUUUUGGAUGCGCAGGUCGGGAUCUCGGGAUGCG
rnacentral:rRNA from 1 species